rnacentral:rRNA from 1 species
AUGUGCUUCGCCCCUGCUCCAUGUGCAGCGGCGACAGUCUCGGCGCGGCGUCCGCUGCGGGGCAGCGACACGCUGGUCUCAUCACAGCGCAAGUUCGAGCUCGGCCUCUUCAGCCCCGCUGGCAGCUCCGAUGGCAGGUUCUACCUCGGGAUCUGGUACAAGAACAUCCCCGGCCAGACCGUCAUCUGGGUCGUGGCGGAACUCCGAAGACCCCGCGCCGGGGAUGUUCACCGACAUGAUAGACCCCAACGGCACCACUGUACAUCUGGGUGCCCGCGAGACAGAGCUGGCAACUGUUCUGGACCGCGCCCACAAUGCAGUGCGAAGUGUAGCGCGUUCGGCGUCUGCGAACAGGGGAGCCAGCUGCCGUGUCGGUCUCCAUCCGGGUUCGCUCCGGUGUCGGAGGAGGACUGGAAGCUCCGUGACUGGAGAGGUGGCUCCAACCUUAGCUCGCCGCUCACGUGCACGCACAACGGGUCGACGAAGGACGGGUUCUUAGCGCUGUCGGGCAUGAAGCUCCCUGACGAGUCGCUCGCCGUGGCCGUUGCCCAGAGCAAAGCAGAGUGUGAAUCGACUUGCCAAAGGAACUGCUCUUGCCAGGCCUACGCCUUCUCCGCCGGCUGA